AUACUUACCUGGCAGGGGAGAUACCAUGAUCACGAAGGUGGUUUUCCCCGGGCGAGGUUUAUCCAUUACACUCCGGAUAUGCUGACCCCUGCCAUUUCCCCAAAUGUGGGAAACUUAACUGCAUGAUUUGUGGGAGUGGGGGACUGUGUUCACUCUUUCCUCUA
ensembl:snRNA U1 U1 spliceosomal RNA